rnacentral:rRNA from 1 species
UACGUAGGGGUCGAGCGUUGUCCGGAGUUACUGGGCGUAAAGCGCGCGCAGGCGGCGCGAUAAGACCGGCGUGAAAGCCCCCGGCUCAACCGGGGAGGGUCGUUGGAAACUGGGGGACUUGAGUGCAGAAGAGGAAAGCGGAAUUCCACGUGUAGCGGUGAAAUGCGUAGAGAUGUGGAGGAACACCAGUGGCGAAGGCGGCUUUCUGGUCUGUAACUGACGCUGAGGCGCGAAAGCGUGGGGAGCAAACAGG